CUGCUAGAUCCCAGCCAUUCCACCGCCGCCCCACGCCUCCCGCCGGUCGUUCCCCACGCCGUCCCACGACCUCCGCUGCGCCGUCCUGCCCGCCCUGCGCCGUCCUGCCCGCCCCACGCCGUCCUGCCUCUGCUGCGCCGCCUCGCGCCGUCAUGCCUCUGCCGCGCCGCCCCGCGCCGUCCUGACCACCCUGCGCCGCCCCACGCCGUCCCGUGCCUCCCUGGCCGCCCUGCGCCGCCCCGCACCGUCCUGCCCGUCCAUCUCCGCCCCGUGCCGUCCUGCCCGUCCAUCGCCGCCCCGCGCCGUUCUCUCCGGGUGGCUGCUUCAACUUGUAUCGGGGCAGCGUGCGUCUGAGGUUGCACAGAGAACCACUGUUGGUACCAUUGAGCAGAGGAAGAAGAGUAGCAAAAUCAUUGGUACUUAGUGACCAGCUUGUGGUAUUUGAUUGUACCUAGCAUCAUAUUUGCCUGAACCAAACACCACCUUAGUGCACAAGGAGGCUACACCGUGGGAGCUCAUCUUCAAGAGAUCAUCCACCGACGUGCUUACUGCAUCCACUCAAUGUGCAAUCUGGUUGGUUAUUAGGAUUCUUGUUACCAACGACUCAGCUUCCAGCAACGGCGCAGUAAUCCCCUUCCGUGCUUGUCACGACAUCCUUCACUAGUUGGAUUUAGUGUGUAUUUGUAGUGACCAAGUGUGAAGCUAGCUACCAUGGAUAGAAGUUGGAUGGAUGCGCCUAGGCAUACAGAGAAGUAGUUACAAGGGCUCGCCAAAUUCCCAGGCUUUGCAUUUAAUAAAUCAUCGGUCGAGAAUAAAAUCUUAUGUCCUUGCAAAAACUGUGUGAACUCAUACUGGAGAGAAGAGUCUGAAGUCCGUGAGCACCUGGUAUGCGAGGGAUUUGUAGAUGGCUACAAACAGUGGAUGUUUCAUGGAGAACGUGUCUCUUCUUCUUCCAUUCCUCCAAAUCUAGAUGAGGGUGACGAUAGGGAUGAGGGCGAUGAUAUAUCUGAUUUGCUAAGAGACCUUGCUGCUAGUUUGGAUAAAGGGGGAGAUCUUGAAGAUGAUUGUGGUUUAGAUCAGGAUGAUUCUUUUCUAGAAUCUCUCCACAAACUUGAAGCUGAUUCUAGACAAGAGCUAUAUCCAGGCUGUAAGAAUUUCUCAAAGCGUCGUUUCCUAGUGAGACUUCUUCUCACCAAACUGCUUGGAGGGUGGUCUGAUAGAAGUUUUGAUCUGCUGUUAGAUCUACUAAAAGAUGCUUACCCUCAGUCCGCAAUACCCAAAAACUCCAAUGAAGCUAAAAAACUAGUCAAAUGCCUAGGACUUGGGUAUGUUAAUAUCCAUGCAUGUGAAAAUGAUUGCAUUCUAUUUUGGAAGAACAAUGCCAAUGCCAAUUCAUGCCCAGAAUGUAAGGCUUCAAGAUGGAAAUCUGAAAGGAAGAGUGCAGAUGGGAAACGUGUCCACAAGGUUCCUAAGAAGGUUCUUCGUUACUUCCCAAUAAAGAAGAGGCUUCAAAGGUUGUUUGUGUGUUCCAGAACUGCGGCUCUCACAAGAUGGCAUGCGGAAGAGCGCACACAAGAUGGCAUGCGGAAGAGCGCACACAAGAUGGCUUGAUUAGGCAUCCUAAAGAUUCCCUCCUUUGGAAAGAUUUUGAUGAAAAAAAUAAAGAUUUUGCAAAAGACAACAGAAAUCUUAAGCUUGUAGUACGUGCCGAUGGUUUUAAUCCGUUUAGAUCCAUGAAUCUCAGCUAUAGCAUUUGGCCAGUAUUAUUGAUUCCUUAUAACUUUCCACCCUGGAUGAUUAUGAAGCAAUCAAAUUUCAUCCUAUCACUGUUGAUUCCUGGCAGAAAUUCUCCUGGUAGUGAUAUUGAUGUCUAUCUUGAGCCACUAGUUGAUGAUAUGGUAGAUAUGUUUCUUGAUGGUGUUAGGACCUAUGAUGCUUCAACCGGAGAGUAUUUUCAGUUUCAUGCUGCCAUAAUAUGCACAAUUACGGAUAAACCAGGUCUUGGGUCUUUGGUUGCCUGUGCUUCCUCUGGAGAAGGAGCUUGCCCUGAAUGCCACUCUCAAUUAUGUUCUCUUAGGCUAAAAAAUGGUAGCAAGACUUGCUAUAUGGGGCAUCGUAGGUUCUUACAUGCAGAUCACCCCUUGAGGUAUGAUACACGCACAUUUGGUGACAUAGAACGUGGGACAGCAGCCGUUCCACUUUCCGGUAGGCAAAUCUUAGAGCUGACAAAAAAUAUGCAAACCAAGUUUGGGAAGGAUCCUAUAACGAAGAAGCCUAGAACUAAGAAACGCAAGAAAGGGGAUCCGCUGAUCAUUUGGAAAAGAAAGUCUAUUUGGUUUAAACUACCAUAUUGGAAGGAUUUGAAGAUGCAUCAUAACUUUGAUGUCAUGCACAUAGAAAAAAAUGUGUGUGAGAACAUAGUUAACACUUUGUUGGCAGUAAAUGGAAAAACCAAGGAUAAUAUUAAUUCUCGAUAUGACCUUCAAGCACUCAGUAUUAGAAAGGAUCUUCAACCUAUUGAUCUUGAUGAUGAUGAAGUUUUUUUUCCUCCGGCACCUUACACAAUGGAAUCUGAUCAGCAGAGGACAUUUUGCAAAGUAUUUAAAAAUGCCAUGUUUCAUAAUGGUUAUGCAUCUGACAUACGCCGUAAUGUGCAUUUUAAGGAGAAAAAGAUAACUGGGCUAAAGAGCCAUGACAACCAUGUCCUUUUGCAAGACUUGCUGCCACUUGCAGUGAGAAGAACAUUACCAGAAAGAGUGAGUGCGGUACUGAUUCGUGUGAGCAGAUUUUUCAAGCGAAUGUACUCACAGGUUAUUCACAUAAGUGACAUGCAAAGGUUGCAGGAUGAAAUAGCUGAGACCUUGAGCCUUCUUGAGGCCAUAUUCCUCCCAUCAUUUUUCGAUAUUAUGGUGCAUUUGAUGGUUCAUCUUCCAGCACAAGCAAUGAUAGCUAGUCCAGUACAUUUUCGCAGCAUGUGGGCUGUAGAGAGGUAUAUAGGAAAGCUCAAGGGACAUGUCCACACCAGAAGUCAUGUGUAAGGAUCAAUUGCAGAGGGCUAUUUGUUUGAUGAGAGCUUGACAUUUUGCUCACACUAUUUGGAUGAUGAGAGUCGGUUGAAUCGAGCUAGGAAUGAUGGAGGUUUGGAUAUGGAAGUUGAUGAUACAACUCCUUUCUUCCACAACAUUGGUCGAGGGCUGGCUGGCAAGUGCAUGGUGAUGUUAGAUAACAAAACUUGGCUGCAAGCCCACAGAUACGUCUUGUUCAAUUAUGACAACAUAGAACCAUACCUAGACAAACAUAUGGAUUACCUUUCUUCUAUUGGUGUUCGAAGUCAUCGAGAAGUCAAGCGUGUGCAUUACGAGACCUUUCAUGAGUGGUUUAAAUUGCACGUGGCAGAAAUGGGCGAUGAAGCACCUCAUGAGAUAAAAAUAUUAGCUAAAGAGCCAAACUUGGUUGCUAUGAAGUAUAGUAGCUACACUAUAAAUGGGAUAGACUUUCAUACACAAUCAUAUGAUGAGGGCCGGUCAUUUCAGAGUAGUGGAGUAGCUCUUGUUGCACAAACCACAUCCUUUGCAAAAGGAAAAGGUGACAAUAUUAGUGUAAGAAACAAGACCUAUUAUGGCAUUAUAAAGGAAAUUCUUGAGUUGAACUAUCAACAUGAAGGGAAAGUAGUGUUGUUCAAAUGUGACUGGGUUGAUAAUCAUGUAGAAGAUGAAUGGGUGCAAACUGAUCAGUUUGGAGUCACUUCUGUGAAUUUCAAGCAUUUGUUCAAUACCGGUGAGAAAAUAUCAAACGAGCCCUUCAUAUUAGCCACACAAGCAACUCAAGUUUACUAUGUUGAAGAUCCCAUUGAUGCUGAGUGGUCUACUGUUGUUGUUCCAUCAUUAUAUGACAUGGAAGAAUCUCAAGAUGAUAAUGGUAAUGUUUUACGUGUGACGUUGCCUGAUCCAUGUACUGCCAUACGUGUGAGUGUUGCGGAUGGAUGCAUUGGUUCUGCUAGGACAGAUAUAGAUGGACUAGUUCUUAAAGCAAGUGAUAUUGAAAAAAAGUAAGUUGUGUAUGAACUACUGAGAAGUAAGAGGAUUGAAGAAAAUGAUAAACGGCUAGCAGCGGUACGGGCAACAAGAGCUUCUAUGCAGGAAGAUAUGGAAGCAAACAAAGCCGCCAAAAAGAAAAGAAAGGCACCCUCCAGCGCACCUGUAAGCGCGAAUGAAGGACGUGUUUUGAGGUCUAGGGUAUCAAAAGAUCAAGAUCAUGUUGAUCCUGAGCAUCAGCCUUCCAAAGAGAUUACUCGUGAGCUGGAUGAUGAUGGUAGUCAAAAGAAAGGUGGAAGAAAAAUUACUCGAAAGGCUAACAUAUAUGCAAGGUUGAAUCAACCCAAAAUCCAUAUUCCACUUAAUGGGGAUGGGCAGCAUGUUGGGCCAGAUGCAACUGAAUUUGCCAAUUUCAUUGGUACUUUGGUGAGGAAGCAUAUACCACCUGCAGAGUUAGACUGGCGAGAUGUUGAUGUAGAAAAAAAGUUGUUAGUGUGGGAGACCUUGAAGGCAUUUUAUGAGCUGGACUCAACUGCUUUGAGCUUUGUUAUCAACACUUCACACAUAAAAUGGAAGGAUUGGAAGUCAGAUUUAAAGAGGUACAAGUUUGAUGCUGCGCUCACUGAUGCACAACUUAUGAAAAGACGUGACAGCAGAAUUAGUGAAGCUGACUGGAAGACCCUUAUUACUUAUUGGAGAUCUUCGGCAUUUGAAGUAGUGGCUAUCGCCAAAAAGAAUCGUGCCAAUGCAGUACCUCAUACAUCUGGCAGCAAGAGUCAUGCCCGUGUUGCCAAUGAAAUGGCUGUCAAACUUGGGCAUGAUCCUCGGAGAGAUGAAGUUUAUAUCGAAACACAUACAUGCAAGAAAGGGGAAAGGAAAGGGAGUUAUGUGCCGCAGGCAGCAGCAACAAUUAAAGAACUCAUAGAGAGUGCUGAAAAACACCCUGAAUGGAAGGACAAAAGCAUUAAAGAAGGUGAUCUGUUUGCACGUGUAUGUGGACUGAAGGAGCCCAGGGGUCGUGUCCGUGUGUUAGGUCUAGGGCCAACACCUCAAGAUUUGGGCACACCGGGUACACGGGGUAAACUGAGCACAAGAGUUCUAGUUGCAAUGGAAGGGCGCCGAGAAGCUGAAAAUCGCUUUAACAUGCUCCAGGGGCAUGUGCAACAAAUGGAGGAACGAAUGAACCGAAUGGAAUUGAUGUUAGCUUCACAAGGAAGGCAUAAUCUGGAAACUCCUAUCUCGCAGCACGGUUCCAAUUCUCGACAAAACUCCGGAGUUGAAGCUGAGGAAGAUAACGAUGCUGAAGAAGAUGUUGAACAGGAUGAUGAAGAGCCAUUUGUUCAUAGAAGAGUUGUUGCAAAGCCCUCUGCAAGAAGCUCAUCAGCCCAUGAAGAUGAAAGCCUUAUUGGUAUGGAUGUGCUUCUAUAUGCAUGGACUGGUCCUGAAACUCCUGUUGCCAAGGCAACGAUUAUCUCAGUUGACCCAGACACUAUGGUGGGCGGAGAGCCCCUUGGACCAGCAACUUAUGAGGUUCUUGUCAAUGUUGCUAUCAGAAGGGAUGCCACUGUGCCUUAUGAAUAUGAUGGUUUACAAAUUAUCGCUGAUGCUGUCACAAGGACCAUUGCAUGGCCAUCUAGCAAGAUGAAACCCUACAAACCAGGGGCAUCUUCCUCAUCCCGCCGCUAAGGUACUGUAAAAGAGAUGCUUCUUGGUGCUUUCUUUUGCUCAAAGUACACAAGUUGCUAAGGUAAGACAUACAAAAGGACCAUGAAGGAACCAUGAAGAUGGCAGUUCGUGUUUGCUAGACAUCUUGUGUAAUGGAGCAAAAACAGUGUCUUUUAGGAUCAUUUUGUGGACCUAUAUGGCGGCGUCUUGUCAUCUGGGUAUUUUGUGUAAUGGAGCAAACAAUGAAUCGAUGGACAUGCAUCUAUCAUUUUGUAAACCUAUCGAGUGAUUCGGUGACUGGAACAUAUAAAUGUUGGAAGGCUUAUGAGAAUGAAUUACUAUUUUAUC